rnacentral:rRNA from 1 species
ACACCUACGGGUGGCAGCAGUCGAGAAUCUUCGGCAAUGGGCGCAAGCCUGACCGAGCGACGCCGCGUGCGGGAUGAAGGCCUUCGGGUUGUAAACCGCUGUCGUAGGGGAGGAAGCGACCGUGAGGAACGGAAGUUGACCGAUCCUAGGAGGAAGCGCCGGCUAAUCUCGUGCCAGCAGCCGCGGUAAUACGAGAGGCGCAAACGUUAUUCGGAUUUACUGGGCUUAAAGAGUUCGUAGGCGGCGCAGAAAGUAGGGUGUGAAAGCCCUCGGCUCAACCGAGGAAUUGCGCUCUAAACUACUGUGCUCGAGGGACCUAGAGGUGAGCGGAACUGAUGGUGGAGCGGUGAAAUGCGUUGAUAUCAUCAGGAACACCGGAGGCGAAGGCGGCUCACUGGGGGUCUUCUGACGCUGAGGAACGAAAGCCAA